UAGAGUUUGAUCCUGGCUCAGAUUGAACGCUGGCGGCAGGCCUAACACAUGCAAGUCGAGCGGAAACGAGUUAACUGAACCUUCGGGGGACGUUAACGGCGUCGAGCGGCGGACGGGUGAGUAAUGCCUAGGAAAUUGCCCUGAUGUGGGGGAUAACCAUUGGAAACGAUGGCUAAUACCGCAUGAUGCCUACGGGCCAAAGAGGGGGACCUUCGGGCCUCUCGCGUCAGGAUAUGCCUAGGUGGGAUUAGCUAGUUGGUGAGGUAAGGGCUCACCAAGGCGACGAUCCCUAGCUGGUCUGAGAGGAUGAUCAGCCACACUGGAACUGAGACACGGUCCAGACUCCUACGGGAGGCAGCAGUGGGGAAUAUUGCACAAUGGGCGCAAGCCUGAUGCAGCCAUGCCGCUAUGUGUGAAGAAGGCCUUCGGGUUGUAAAGCACUCUCAGUCUAUGAGGAAGGU
rnacentral:rRNA from 1 species